UAUGGCCAUAUCAUGCAGACACAACAGUUCCCAUACAAUCACCAUAGUUAAGCAAUGUUGAGCCUGGUCAGUACCUAGAUGGGGUACUGCUUGGGAAUACCAGGUGCAGUAAG